rnacentral:tRNA from 1 species
GGAUGGGUGGCCGAGUGGUUUAAGGCACCGGUCUUGAAAACCGGCGUGGGUUAACGCCCACCGUGGGUUCGAAUCCCACCCCAUCCGCCA